rnacentral:sRNA from 1 species
CAAAAAUGAUUUUGAUUACAAAUGAGCAGGAAGCUUGAUUUUUCAGGCGUCUAAAAUUAAAAUGGUUAUCCGGUUUACUUGGGUUCUUUAUUUUAAAGAAUUGAAACUUUAAAAUGUUUCAA